rnacentral:rRNA from 1 species
UCCGUAGGGCGCAAGCGUUGUCCGGAAUCAUUGGGCGUAAAGCGCGCGUAGGUGGCCCCAUAAGUCCGCUGUGAAAGUCAAAGGCUCAACCUUUGAAAGCCGGUGGAUACUGUGGGACUAGAGUACGGAAGAGGCGAGUGGAAUUCCUGGUGUAGCGGUGGAAUGCGCAGAUAUCAGGAGGAACACCAAUAGCGAAGGCAGCUCGCUGGGACGUUACUGACACUGAGGCGCGAAAGCGUGGGGAGCGAACAGG